rnacentral:rRNA from 1 species
CCUACGGGGGGCUGCAGUGGGGAAUAUUGGACAAUGGGGGCAACCCUGAUCCAGCGACGCCGCGUGUGUGAAGAAGGCCUGCGGGUUGUAAAGCACUUUUAGUGGGGAGGAAGGUCUGCGACCUAACACGUCGUGGAAUUGACUUAACCCACAGAAAAAGCACCGGCUAACUCUGUGCCAGCAGCCGCGGUAAUACAGAGGGUGCAAGCUGUGAUCGGAAUGACUGGGCGUGAUGUCGUCGUAGGGAUGUGAAAGCCCCGGGCUCAACCUGGGAAUUGCAUUCGAGACUGCGAAGCUGGAGUGCGGAAGAGGGAAGUGGAAUAUCCGGUGUAGCGGUGAAAUGCGUAGAUAUCGGAAGGAACAUCAGUGGCGAAAGCGACUUCCUGGUCCAGCACUGACGCUCAGGCACGAAAGCGUGGGGAGCAAACAGGAUUAGAUACCCGGGUAGUC